rnacentral:rRNA from 1 species
UGGGGAAUAUUGCACAAUGGGGGAAACCCUGAUGCAGCGACGCCGCGUGAACGAAGAAGGUAUUCGUAUCGUAAAGUUCUGUCCUAUGGGAAGAUAAUGACAGUACCAUAGAAGAAAGCUCCGGCUAAAUACGUGCCAGCAGCCGCGGUAAUACGUAUGGAGCGAGCGUUGUCCGGAAUUAUUGGGCGUAAAGGGUACGCAGGCGGUUUAAUAAGUCGAAUGUUAAAGAUCGGGGCUCAACCCCGUAAAGAAUUGGAAACUGAUAAACUUGAGUAGUGGAGAGGAAAGUGGAAUUCCUAGUGUAGUGGUGAAAUACGUAGAUAUUAGGAGGAAUACCAGUAGCGAAGGCGACUUUCUGGACACAAACUGACGCUGAGGUACGAAAGCGUGGGGAGCAAACAGG